rnacentral:rRNA from 1 species
GCAGCUUGCUGCUUCGCUGACGAGUGGCGGACGGGUGAGUAAUGUCUGGGAAGCUGCCUGAUGGAGGGGGAUAACUACUGGAAACGGUAGCUAAUACCGCAUAAUGUCGCAAGACCAAAGAGGGGGACCUUCGGGCCUCUUGCCAUCGGAUGUGCCCAGAUGGGAUUAGCUUGUUGGUGGGGUAACGGCUCACCAAGGCGACGAUCCCUAGCUGGUCUGAGAGGAUGACCAGCCACACUGGAACUGAGACACGGUCCAGACUCCUACGGGAGGCAGCAGUGGGGAAUAUUGCACAAUGGGCGCAAGCCUGAUGCAGCCAUGCCGCGUGUAUGAAGAAGGCCUUCGGGUUGUAAAGUACUUUCAGCGGGGAGGAAGGGAGUAAAGUUAAUACCUUUGCUCAUUGACGUUACCCGCAGAAGAAGCACCGGCUAACUCCGUGCCAGCAGCCGCGGUAAUACGGAGGGUGCAAGCGUUAAUCGGAAUUACUGGGCGUAAAGCGCACGCAGGCGGUUUGUUAAGUCAGAUGUGAAAUCCCCGGGCUCAACCUGGGAACUGCAUCUGAUACUGGCAAGCUUGAGUCUCGUAGAGGGGGGUAGAAUUCCAGGUGUAGCGGUGAAAUGCGUAGAGAUCUGGAGGAAUACCGGUGGCGAAGGCGGCCCCCUGGACGAAGACUGACGCUCAGGUGCGAAAGCGUGGGGAGCAAACAGGAUUAGAUACCCUGGUAGUCCACGCCGUAAACGAUGUCGACUUGGAGGUUGUGCCCUUGAGGCGUGGCUUCCGGAGCUAACGCGUUAAGUCGACCGCCUGGGGAGUACGGCCGCAAGGUUAAAACUCAAAUGAAUUGACGGGGGCCCGCACAAGCGGUGGAGCAUGUGGUUUAAUUCGAUGCAACGCGAAGAACCUUACCUGGUCUUGACAUCCACGGAAGUUUUCAGAGAUGAGAAUGUGCCUUCGGGAACCGUGAGACAGGUGCUGCAUGGCUGUCGUCAGCUCGUGUUGUGAAAUGUUGGGUUAAGUCCCGCAACGAGCGCAACCCUUAUCCUUUGUUGCCAGCGGUCCGGCCGGGAACUCAAAGGAGACUGCCAGUGAUAAACUGGAGGAAGGUGGGGAUGACGUCAAGUCAUCAUGGCCCUUACGACCAGGGCUACACACGUGCUACAAUGGCGCAUACAAAGAGAAGCGACCUCGCGAGAGCAAGCGGACCUCAUAAAGUGCGUCGUAGUCCGGAUUGGAGUCUGCAACUCGACUCCAUGAAGUCGGAAUCGCUAGUAAUCGUGGAUCAGAAUGCCACGGUGAAUACGUUCCCGGGCCUUGUACACACCGCCCGUCACACCAUGGGAGUGGGUUGCAAAAGAAGUAGGUAGCUUAACCUUCGGGAGGGCGCUUACCACUUUGUGAUUCAUGACUGGGGUGAAGAC